rnacentral:rRNA from 1 species
UACGUAGGGGGCAAGCGUUGUCCGGAUUUAUUGGGCGUAAAGAGCGUGUAGGCGGCCGGUAGGUCGGCUGUGAAAACUCGAGGCUCAACCUCGAGCUGUCGGCCGAAACCAUCUGGCUAGAGUCCGGAAGAGGAGAAUGGAAUUCCCGGUGUAGCGGUGAAAUGCGCAGAUAUCGGGAAGAACACCCGUGGCGAAGGCGGUUCUCUGGGACGGUACUGACGCUGAGACGCGAAAGCGUGGGGAGCGAACAGG